rnacentral:rRNA from 1 species
UACGUAGGGGGCAAGCGUUGUCCGGAUUUACUGGGCGUAAAGAGCGUGUAGGCGGCCAAACAGGUCCGUUGUGAAAACUGGAGGCUUAACCUCCAGACGUCGACGGAAACCGUAUGGCUAGAGUCCGGAAGAGGAGAGUGGAAUUCCUGGUGUAGCGGUGAAAUGCGCAGAUAUCAGGAAGAACACCAGCGGCGAAGGCGGUGCUCUGGGCCGGAACUGACACUGAGGAGCGAAAGCGUGGGUAGCAAACAGG